UACGUAGGGAGCAAGCGUUGUCCGGAAUCAUUGGGCGUAAAGCGCGCGUAGGUGGCCUCAUAAGUCCGUUGUGAAAGUCAAAGGCUCAACCUUUGAAAGCCGAUGGAUACUGUGAGGCUAGAGUCCGGAAGAGGCGAGUGGAAUUCCUGGUGUAGCGGUGGAAUGCGCAGAUAUCAGGAGGAGCACCAAUAGCGAAGGCAGCUCGCUGGGACGGUACUGACACUGAGGCGCGAAAGCGUGGGGAGCGAACAGG
rnacentral:rRNA from 1 species